UAAAAAUUGCUGUUAAUUUACGUCAAAAUUUUAACAGUAUAAACCCGUUAUUUUAAAAAGCAGUGCUUACCUGUUUAUUUACGUUCGGUGAAAUGACCUAGAUAAAAUUUAACGUUAUUUUACCGUAUUUAUUGCUUGAAGGAAAGAAAACAGUACUUAACAGUAUUUUGGGAACAGAAAGCUGCAGCGAGCACAUGUGGAUUUUCAUCCGUCUUUAUAUUGUGAUUUAACCGUGCUAAAAUCGUCAACGUUCCAACGGCAUCAUAGAUUGGAGCUGGAUAGAUUCAGAUAUCCCCCGAUUACAAGGCAUCUUCCACUGCAGCUGAUGUAGAAAGGACACUUGAACUACCUUCAACUCCUCGACUGAUACUCUUUGGUGAAAAACCAGGAAGCUGCAUUCAUAAAUGGAUGAUUAGUUUUGAGGGGCAAAUAAUCUGUGAGGGCAUCCAGCCAAGUUUUCUGUCUGGACUUGCUGCUGUGUUUUCAACUUUCUACAAUUUCAAUGUGGAGUACCAAGCUGAGGCUGCAUCCACGUUGGAAUUUAUUCAGAGGUGCUUCAUUGGAAUAAAUCCUGAAAAAGGCACCAAGGGUGGACAAGUCCUAUCAAAGCGGACAGGGAAGGUCGGCCACAAAAAGAAAUCAGUCAACACUCGGGUUGCCAGUCUACUUAAGAAGCUAAUGGACUUUGAGUGGGACUUCAUAUAAGUGAACUCACUCAUCCACUGACAUACCACACACACACACCGUACACAUACUCUUCACACAUGAUAAAAACAUGUUUUUAGUGUGUUUAGUCGCACAAUUUUUUCAGGUGUUCAUUCUUGAAUACCUACAUUUUGACUUCAUUCAUCAUUGAAUUAUUUCUUCAUUCAGUAACUCUUAUUCACUAAUAAUUUAGUAAUUCUUAUUCUCUCAGCAGUUCGCUAAAGUCACUCAUUUAUUUUUUUCUAAUGUUAUGUAAAUUAUUUGUUUAUUCAGUUAAACGAAAGUUUACUCUGAGGCUUAAGUUUUAGUCAUUCCACUUGCAUCAGCCACUAAUUUUGAGAAUAUUUUGUGAU